rnacentral:lncRNA from 1 species
ACAAAAAAUAAAAAAGAAGAAAUAUCCUUAAAGAAGAAAAAGAUGCUUAAUAUGCAAGGAUAUCUGGAGAAAUUGCCAAUGAAUCAAACUAAAGUAAAACCAUUUAAGGGAUGGAAAAAAAGAUUUUUCAAGAUUUCUUCUGGACAUCUUUUUUAUUAUGAGAAUCACAAUACAAAUGUACAACUUGGAAGUAUUGAAGUAAAACAAGCAGAAAUUGUCAUUGAAGCUGAAAAAACUAUUAACAUUAAGUCUCAG